GAUGAACGCUGGCGGCGUGCCUAAUACAUGCCAGUCGAGCGAACGGACGAGAAGCUUGCUUCUCUGAUGUUAGCGGCGGACGGGUGAGUAACACGUGGAUAACCUACCUAUAAGACUGGGAUAACUUCGGGAAACCGGAGCUAAUACCGGAUAAUAUUUUGAACCGCAUGGUUCAAAAGUGAAAGGCGGUCUUGCUGUCACUUAUAGAUGGAUCCGCGCUGCAUUAGCUAGUUGGUAAGGUAACGGCUUACCAAGGCGACGAUGCAUAGCCGACCUGAGAGGGGAUCGGCCACACUGGAACUGAGACACGGUCCAGACUCCUACGGGAGGCAGCAGUAGGGAAUCUUCCGCAAUGGGCGAAAGCCUGACGGAGCAACGCCGCGUGAGUGAUGAAGGUCUUCGGAUCGUAAAACUCUGUUAUUAGGGAAGAACAUAUGUGUAAGUAACUGUGCACAUCUUGACGGUACCUAAUCAGAAAGCCACGGCUAACUACGUG
rnacentral:rRNA from 1 species